rnacentral:lncRNA from 1 species
UGGAGGAGGUUAGAGGAUGAGGCCGGGAGGGAGGCUCCUCCUGGGCAGGGGCAGGUGUGGGAGGCUGUGAGCUGGGGCCCUGGCCUGUGCCCCCAGGAUGGGGCUGAGAGGAGAAGAAGGGCAGUGCCCAGGGAUGAGCCGCAGCCCGCAGGGCCUUCUCCUGUCCUCUGGGGUAGAAGCCUGAGACAGAGCUGUUUGUGUUUCAGGAGCACAAGGUUACCCGGGGCAGAAACAGCACAAACUGGGGUCAGGCAGAGCCUUGUGCUUGCUGCUGGCUGCUGGGCACUGUCCCCACAGAGCUGCACACGGGACACUGUGUCACUUCCAUCCUGUCACGGCUUUAUUCUGCCAUGCCACCUCAGGGCAACUCCUGGCCAGGGCCCAUGUGGUACCCACAGGGGCUAUGCCACCUGCAAAGGUGGCAGUGAGCACAGCCGGGCAGCCUCUCAGGACCAGGAAGUGGGCCUGACUUUUUCUGAGCCGUUAACAGACACCAGGGACAGGCUGGCCUCGCAGGAGGCCUGGCCCCAGGCUGAGCCUCAGUUUCUCUCUCCACCACAGGACCUGAGGGUGGGUGGGCUCUUCAUGCCCCAGGCCAUGACCUCUCCUUGUUAAUGAGCCAUGAAUCGGUAGCAUUUCUGUGUGUCCCUUCUGAAAUUAUCUUCUAACAUGCAUCGCUUUUCUGCUGGGCCCACUUGUGCCCCUUCUGGUACGAGCCAUGAUGGCGACUUGCAGAGUGGUCUGGGCUUCGGCCUCCAGCCCUCCUGAUGGCCUGGGUGGGCCCCAGUUCCAUGUCUCCCCUCUGUUCCGUCACAGAUUGGGGCCCAACGGGAGGAGAGCCGGGUAGAGGACUGCAUGGUGAGGACGGUGCUGGCAGGCAGGCAGCGCCCCCCGAGGGAGCUCCUGGAACAGGACUUCCUGGACAGCCGCCCCAUCCACCCAGACUCCCUCCUGGACCCCUCUGGGGCCUGCAUUCGCACCCUUCAGGAGGGGAUGGUGUGAAGGCGAGAUCUGUGGUCGGGACCCAGGGGCACUUGGCCACUGUGGCCCCAAGUCUUUGGAAGGACCAGCUCCAUCCCCAGCUGAAGUUCCACGAGUGGAGUGGAGUAGGGGCUGAGCUGGUGGCCUCCAUUCCGGGGUGGGUUGGGACAUCCUCCCCAGCUGUGACCUCCUUGAGGCUCCCUCUCGGGGUGUUAGGUCCAUACUACCUGGGUCUUGCGGCCUGGUUCUCCUGAGACAGGGGCUGGGCCCCCUCCCACUGUUCCCCUCACUUAUGCUGGCUCUUGUUUUGGUAUUUACAAAUGCCCUUAUUUCUUGGAUUUAUAUAAUAGAACUAGCUUUUAAUAAAACUUAAAAUUUUAGUGUUUAAAAGGGUCAGCGUGGUGGCCUGAAGUGCCUUCUCCCUGUGUGUGUCCAUCCCCAGAGCACCGUGCUUGGUGGCUCCUGCCCAUACCCCUGGCCACUGCUCCUUUCGUGUCCCCACGGGCACCUGACCUGCAGGGUUCACACCAGUGCAGUCGGACUUGCCUUUGGCCACACAGUCGUGAGAGGGGCUGAUGAAUCUUGCGCUAUGCAGAAGGGGAAACCCUAGAAAGAUCCCGGCCAUUUUUCAUUGUCUUCUUCAGUAGGUAAUCCAGGUUGUGUUGCCAGACAGGAUGUAUUUAUCACAGUAAGAUAACGUGUGCAGUGAGUGAAGGACAGGCGAAGGGGACCAUCGCAGGAAACCCACUGGGCCUUGGCCUCCCCUAGGCGCCGCCUCCCUGUCUGCAUCUCGGGGUUCAGGCUGCGUCUUCCCUGCUGGGAGGGGGUGCGCCAGGCCUCAGCUCUCCU